CGGCGGACGGGUGAGUAACACGUGGAUAACCUACCUAUAAGACUGGGAUAACUUCGGGAAACCGGAGCUAAUACCGGAUAAUAUAUUGAACCGCAUGGUUCAAUAGUGAAAGACGGUUUUGCUGUCACUUAUAGAUGGAUCCGCGCCGCAUUAGCUAGUUGGUAAGGUAACGGCUUACCAAGGCAACGAUGCGUAGCCGACCUGAGAGGGUGAUCGGCCACACUGGAACUGAGACACGGUCCAGACUCCUACGGGGCAGCAGAC
rnacentral:rRNA from 1 species